rnacentral:lncRNA from 1 species
GAAAAACCUCAAAAUAUAUUUUCUAUUCUUAAUACCACUUAGGUCAGUUCUUUGGUAUCAGUUGUUUUGGGGGUUUCUUUCAUACAUCAAGCAAUUCUCCCACUGAAAUCAGCUAGGCACUCUUUAAUUUAACUCAGGUUUUGCACUGUCUGUCCAUUGUGUCAGGCUAAGGGCCCGAUUCCAUAGAUUACCCUUCACUUCAGCUGCCAUUACGAGUCUUUGGUUGUGACCUAACCUCUGAUAGACCAGCUGUAAUUAUUGUUUCGUGUCCUUCUUGGGUUUCAUUAACUUUCUAGGACUGCUUACCAAAAAAAAAUGCCAGAGAAAACCUUUUAAGUUUUCCAUUUAUUGUAAUUCAGAUAAAAGACAUGCAAAAAAUGAGGUGGUCAUUGAAUAUGGAAGCUGGCUUGUCAUAUCAGCUCUAAGCACAAAUGUGAUUUUAGCCUUAUCCAAAGCCCUAGGCUAGCCUUGAAUGGAAGGUUUGUGAUUGAAGCAUCAUUCUGUCCUUGCUAUCAACUCAGCCUUCAUCCUUGAGAUCUUGGCUAAACUUGGCAAUUUUCUAACCACGUAAUUGUCUCUUAGUACUCAGGUCUAUUCUGAGGAACAGGUCAUUAGAAACACACUCACAGUCACUCAUCAACACAGGUAUUAUCACUCUUAUCAUUUAGGAGGUUCUAAAUCGGUUAGGUGCCUGUUUUAGGAGCUAGAGUCAAAGACCAAACAGCAGAACAAUGUUUUCCUAAUCCCACUAUUAAUUAGGAAAGUACAAAAGUCAGUGCUGUGUCAAGAGUUCAGAGUUUAAAGCUGGAGAGAUGAGAUGGCUCAGCAGUUAAGAGCACUUGUUGAUAUUGCAGAGGAAUGGAGCUCAGUUUCUAGCAUGAUGUUCUCAGACACUGUACAUACAUGUACAUAUGCAUGCAUGCAAAACACAUAAAUAUUU